rnacentral:rRNA from 1 species
CUACGGGAGGCAGCAGUGGGGAAUAUUGGACAAUGGGGGAAACCCUGAUCCAGCGACGCCGCGUGUGUGAAGAAGGCCUGCGGGUUGUAAAGCACUUUCGGUGGGAACGAAAUAUGCCGGGCUAAUACCCCGGUAGGCUGACGUUACUCAAUGAAGAAGCACCGGCUAACUCUGUGCCAGCAGCCGCGGUAAUACAGAGGGUGCGAGCGUUAAUCGGAAUUACUGGGCGUAAAGCGCACGUAGGUGGCGACGUAAGUCGGGUGUGAAAUCCCUGGGCUCAACCUGGGAACGGCAUUCGAGACUGUGUUGCUGGAGUACGGAAGAGGAGGGCGGAAUUCCCGGUGUAGCGGUGAAAUGCGUAGAU